UACGUAGGAGGCGAGCGUUGUCCGGAAUUACUGGGCGUAAAGGGUGCGUAGGCGGCGCGGUAAGUCGGGUGUGAAAUCUCGGGGCUUAACUCCGAAACUGCAUUCGAUACUGCCGUGCUUGAGGACUGGAGAGGAGACUGGAAUUUACGGUGUAGCGGUGAAAUGCGUAGAUAUCGUAAGGAAGACCAGUGGCGAAGGCGGGUCUCUGGACAGUUCCUGACGCUGAGGCACGAAGGCCAGGGGAGCAAACGGG
rnacentral:rRNA from 1 species